AUCUAGCUGACGAGUCUCAAAUAGGACAAAACGCGCGAUCUGGAU
rnacentral:hammerhead_ribozyme from 1 species